rnacentral:rRNA from 1 species
UACGGGGGGGGCAAGCGUUGUUCGGAAUUACUGGGCGUAAAGGGCUCGUAGGCGGCCCACUAAGUCAGACGUGAAAUCCCCAGGCUCAACCUGGGAACUGCGUCUGAUACUGGAUGGCUUGAAUCCGGGAGAGGGAUGCAGAAUUCCAGGUGUAGCGGUGAAAUGCGUAGAUAUCUGGAGGAAUACCGGUGGCGAAGGCGGCUUACUGGUCCGGUUCUGACGCUGAGGCGCGAAAGCGUGGGGAGCAAACAGG